rnacentral:rRNA from 1 species
UACAGAGGGUGCAAACGUUGUUCGGAAUCACUGGGCAUAAAGCGCACGUAGGCUGCCAUGUAAGUGUCGGAUGAAAUCCCACGGCUUACCCGUGGAACUGUCCGGCAUACUGUGUGGCUCGAGGAUGGUAGAGGAGAGCGGAACUCUUGGUGGAGCGGUGAAAUGCGUAGAUAUCAAGAGGAACACCGGUGGCGAAGGCGGCUCUCUGGUCCAUUACUGACGCUGAGGUGCGAAAGCUAGGGGAGCAAACGGG